UACCAUGAUGAGGUAAUUUGCGAUUGAUUCUACUUCGAUGGCGCCCUCGCCGGGGCUGCUAUAUCGGGUGGAAAGCUGAUAGUUAAUUUCUUACAUAUUCUGACU
rnacentral:snoRNA from 1 species